AUGAACGCUAGCGGCAGGCUUAACACAUGCAAGUCGAGGGGCAGCGGGGAGUAGCAAUACUCCGCCGGCGACCGGCGCACGGGUGCGUAACGCGUAUGCAACCUACCUUUAACAGGGGCAUAACACUGAGAAAUUGGUACUAAUUCCCCAUAACAUUCGAGAAGGCAUCUUCUUGGGUUAAAAACUCCGGUGGUUAAAGAUGGGCAUGCGUUGUAUUAGCUAGUUGGUGAGGUAACGGCUCACCAAGGCGACGAUACAUAGGGGGACUGAGAGGUUAACCCCCCACAUUGGUACUGAGACACGGACCAAACUCCUACGGGAGGCAGCAGUGAGGAAUAUUGGUCAAUGGACGCAAGUCUGAACCAGCCAUGCCGCGUGCAGGAAGACGGCUCUAUGAGUUGUAAACUGCUUUUGUACUAGGGUAAACGCUCUUACGUGUAGGAGCCUGAAAGUAUAGUACGAAUAAGGAUCGGCUAACUCCGUGCCAGCAGCCGCGGUAAUACGGAGGAUCCAAGCGUUAUCCGGAUUUAUUGGGUUUAAAGGGUGCGUAGGCGGUUUGAUAAGUUAGAGGUGAAAUACCGGGGCUCAACUCCGGAACUGCCUCUAAUACUGUUGAACUAGAGAGUAGUUGCGGUAGGCGGAAUGUAUGGUGUAGCGGUGAAAUGCUUAGAGAUCAUACAGAACACCGAUUGCGAAGGCAGCUUACCAAACUAUAUCUGACGUUGAGGCACGAAAGCGUGGGGAGCAAACAGGAUUAGAUACCCUGGUAGUCCACGCAGUAAACGAUGAUAACUCGUUGUCGGCGAUACACAGUCGGUGACUAAGCGAAAGCGAUAAGUUAUCCACCUGGGGAGUACGUUCGCAAGAAUGAAACUCAAAGGAAUUGACGGGGGCCCGCACAAGCAGUGGAGUAUGUGGUUUAAUUCGAAGCAACGCGAAGAACCUUACCAGGUCUUGACAUCCGAUGCAUAGCACAGAGAUGUGUGAAAUCCUUCGGGACAUCGAGACAGGUGGUGCAUGGUUGUCGUCAGCUCGUGUCGUGAGAUGUUGGGUUAAGUCCCGCAACGAGCGCAACCCUUAUGGUCAGUUACUACGCAAGAGGACUCUGGCCAGACUGCCGUUGACAAAACGGAGGAAGGUGGGGAUGACGUCAAAUCAUCAUGCCCUUUAUGUCUUGGGCUACACACGUACUACAAUGGAUGUUACAAAGGGAAGCGAAGUAGUGAUAUGGAGCGAAACCCAAAAAGCAUCCCCAGUUCGGAUUGUAGGCUGAAAUUCGCCUACAUGAAGCCGGAAUUGCUAGUAAUGGCAGGUCAGCAUACUGCCGUGAAUACGUUCCCGGGCCUUGUACACACCGCCCGUCACACCAUGAGAGUCGGGAAUACCCGAAGCCUGUGAGCCAACAUAUUUAUAUGAGGCAGCAGUCGAAGGUAGAAUCGAUGAUUGGGGUG
rnacentral:rRNA from 1 species